rnacentral:tRNA from 1 species
CGCGGAGUGGAGCAGUAUGGCAGCUCGUCGGGCUCAUAACCCGGAGGUCAGAGGUUCAAAUCCUUUCUCCGCAA